rnacentral:rRNA from 1 species
AUGUACCCAAUUGCAUGGGCUACUGUUGAAGUUGAGAGUUAUGAUAGUUGGUACUGGUUUUUGUCAUUUCUGCAGAAGGACAUUCACAUAAAAAAUCAUGGUGAUGGCUGGGCUUUCAUUUCUGACCAGCAGAAGGGGCUCAUCAGAGUAGUAAAUGAAAUCUGUCCACAAGCAGAGCAUAGAAUGUGUGCUAGACACAUCUAUGCAAACUGGAGAAAGCAAUAUAGGGAGAAGAUAUAUCAAAAAAAAUUCUGGGCGUGUGCAAAAGCUUCAGACAGAAUAGGAUUCAACUAUCAUAGAGCCAAGCUAGCUCAAAAAACUAUAGAGGGGGCAAAAGACAUUAUGAAAACCAAUCCUGAACAUUGGAGCAGAGCUUUUUUCAAACUUGGCUCAUAUUGUGAUUAUGUGGAAAACAAUAUGUGCGAGUCCUUCAACAACUCCAUCAUGAGAGCAAGGUUUUAUCCUGUGAUUACUAUUCAUAAGAUCAUAAGAAAGAAAGUCAUGGUUAGAAUUCAAGAAAAUAGGGCAAAGCCUGAAAAGUGGAGUGGUUCAAUAUGCCCUAAUAUUUUUAAAAAGUUGCAGCUCAACAUAAAGAGAUCAGGAAGAUGCAAUGUGCUAUGGAAUAGCAAGGAAGAUUUGAAGUGCAGGAGGGUGAGUACAAAAGGUUUACAGUUAACCUGA